rnacentral:lncRNA from 1 species
AUCAAGUUUGCCCCCAUCCCUCUCAUGAUCUCCACCUCACACCUAUCAAGUGAUGCAAAGGGAAACAUUGACAGGUUCCAGUCUUCCUGGUCAAGGUAAUCACCCUCCUUUGUCCUGACCAUUCCUGGAUGGUUUGCCAUUGUCUCUGGAAUGGCUACCUGUCUGGCGCUCAGGGGCCAGGAUGCGAGCAAUUCUCUCCCAUGCAAGAGGUUGCUGAGUACCUGAUCUCAGGCUUGAGCGAUUAUGGCUGCCCACAUCCCAGGCUCCCCUCUUGGUAGCCAUUCCUUUUCUGAACAGAACAAAGUUGGAAUGGUGCAAAUCCAAACUGGAGUGAUUUUGUAUGACUUUCUAAAGUUUUCCCAGGGAGCCAGUGCGUAAACACAUUUAUCAGUGAAUUGUUGCAUUUGGUAAUGUGCAGCAGAGGCCCUUUGAAUAGAGAUGGGGGGGCACCUGUGUGCUGAAGUGUUUUGUGGGGACAGAUGCAGGAGUGAUUGUGUUGAUUUUGGUUGUGUGUGUGUGUGUGUGUGUGUGUGUGUGUGUGUGUGUGUGAAUGACGUCCGCUGGAGGGGCAACCCCCCCCCCAACCUUUGCAUAAAUUCCAGUAACACCAUAUAGAUAUAUACAAUUAAUGUGCAUGAACUGCUCUGUCCCUGAAGUGCAACGAACCCACUGGGCUGCACCCCAAAAGAUGCUCCCGGGCUCAGGACUCUUCCAUUUUUGUCAGCGAAUGUCAGAACAUGAGAGCAGACCUCUUGCAUCAGACCAGCGCCCCGUCCGCUUCUCAGAGUUGCAUGGCAUUUGCCUUUCCCAAAGCCGCCACACGUUGGGCCACCAUCUUCGCCCAGGUCCCCACUGCAACCCCAAGUUCUCCUUCCUGUUCAGUCACCAGCACCUCAGACCCCGGGAGCAGACGUGCGAAAUCGAGAGCAUCUUUGUGCCCUGACACAGAAGAAGAAGAAGAAGAGUUUGGAUUUGAUAUCCCGCCUUUCACUCCCCUUCAGGAGUCUCAAAGCGGCUAACAUUCUCCUUCCCCCCCCCCACAACAAACACUCUGUGAGGUGAGUGGGGCUGAGAGACUUCAAGGAAGUGUGACUGGCCCAAGGUCACCCAGCAGCUGCAUGUGGAGGAGCGGAGACACGAACCCGGUUCCCCAGAUUAUGAGACUACCGCUCUUAACCACUACACCACACUGCACCACAGAUCCCUUUGCAGCUGUUUACAACCCAGCUAGACGGAGCUGAGGAGCCUCAGAGCACGGCCUGGAUGGUGGUGUCGGGGAGAGGACUCUGGGCUUCCUGAAAACAUAAAGGGACCCAAGGAUCAUCUAGUCCAGCCACUGCAGUGCAGGAAUCACUAUUAUUUAUCAUUAUGUCUAGGCACCAGAAAGGGAUCGGCAUCACCUGAACCCCCCUGGAGCCAGACUUCUGGCCCCUAAGAUCUAGAAGGCAGCAGAGCAGUUUCUGGAGGGACCCCCAAGGGAGAAGCUGGCAGGAGAACGGGGCCUUUUCUGCAGUGGCUCCUCAUCUGUGGAAUGCUCUCCCCAGGCAAGUUCGCCUGGCGCCUUCACCAUUAGGCACUUUUUUAACCAGGCCUUUGGUUGACCUGAUCAACAUCCCAUACUCUUAAAAUGUGACUCUUUUGGGGGGUA